rnacentral:rRNA from 1 species
AGUGAACGCUGGCGGCGUGCCUAAUACAUGCAAGUCGAACGGAGUGGCGCACGGGUGAGUAAUAUAUAGCUAAUCUGCCCCUUGCUGGAGGACCACAGUUAGAAAUGACUGCUAAUACUCCAUAGCAAGGGAUGAGACUAUAUCGUAUCAGCUAGUCGGUGGGGUAACGGCCUACCGAGGCGAUGACGCGUAACUGGUCUGCGAGGAUGAUCAGCCAACUUGGAAGUGAGACACCGGUCGAAAACCUACGGGAGGGAGCAGUAGGGUAUAGUGCCCAAUGGGGGAGUCGCUGACGCAGCUACGCGGCGUGGAGGAUGACACUUUUCGAAGAGUAAACUCCUUUUGUUAGGGACGCGGUACCUAACGAAUAAGCACCGGCUAACUCCGUGCCAGCAGCCGCGGUAAUUC